GACUUAGGGGGGCGUUCGCCAAAGGAAGAGGAACGAGGAAGGCUAGUACGGCGGCGCGACUUCUGUGACUGACAUCAUAGCGCAGCCAAUCGGUAACUGAGAGAUGACUUCAUCGCUGAAGGAAGUCUGGAACUGGCGGAGCGGCCGCCAAGAGGCCACCAUCCGUUGGAUAAACUGAAGUAUGAUUGCCCCAGAGUCCAACGUGGAAAACCAGUGAGUUUAUUGGACUUACUAAGAAAUCACGGCUGGCCCCCAAAGCAGCGAGACCACCAAAAAGUUGCACCCCAGCAUGGAUGAUGAUGUCCCCAUAGCUGCGUAGAUGGCAUACACAGUUCAGUUAAACUUCCAUAGUCUACACAACUCUAGCCAAGUCACAAGACCUCAAGCAGCUAGGGCAAAAUUGAGGACGGUGAGCUGGGAGAUGCUGGAGGAGGUAACUGGGAUCCAGCAAGGAUUCAGAGAAGUCCCCCUAAGUCCUUCCAUCAAUGCAGGAACAUCAACAGUCAACAAGCCCAGUCUUGGGGGGCUCUUGCAAGAUAGCUGUGCUCUUGCAACGAGCUGCUGGACACAAGGAAAAAGAAAGAAGGUGCUUUCCCUAAAGGUUCUGGAGAACAGAGUCCCCAGCGUAGGAGCAAGGGUUAACACUGUAGAAGCAGAAACCCUCAGGGGCAUCCUGACAGAUGUGGGAAGGCACAGUGACUGGAAGGAGGUAACGCAUGUUACAUCUCUGAAUGAGUUAUUCUGUAUGGCUUCCGUUCUCCCCCGGAAAUCUCCCAGACUGCUCAGUGGUGUGUGGCUCUAUUGGAUAGGAGAAGAAGCUGCAACUCCCUCUAUCCACUGCAGUAAGCCAGACCGGCCCUGAGUAAUUCCCAGUUAUUCAUCUGUAAGUCAGCUUCAAGUUCCGUACCACGUGUCUCAUCACAGAACCUUGGAGGUAGACCAGAUCCUGUGGCCUCUUAGUCACACUUUCCCUCCCAAGAUUAAAAAAAAUAAUAAAAAAAUCCAUAAAAGCCCUAAUAAAAUUAUAUGUUCAAUAACUAUACAUGCUAUAUAAAUAAAAACUUAAAAG
ensembl:processed_transcript 4930483J18Rik RIKEN cDNA 4930483J18 gene